UUCAGUCGCUUUUUGUCCAUGUAAUCAACCAUAUCUGCCUCGAUUUGAUUAAACAAGUUGCAGCGGCAUAAAAUUCAGCGACUGACUGCGUCGUGCCGGCUGCCUGUUACUCACCCAGAAAAUGACAUGCUCUGCAUUUGCCAGAAAGGCUGCACGUGGGGUUGGAGAAGAGGGUCUGUGCGGCACCGGUGACACAGGCGUGGCUACCGAUUAAGUGAGGUCUUUGCUGACUUGUCCACUCAUCUGGAAACAAGAGCAAGAAAGGACAUAGGAACUCAGUUCCCUGAAGACGAGAGGCUCAAUUUCAAGGAACCAGACCAGGAUUCAUCUUUGUCUAUGGUUUCUAAUCGGAAAGUUCCCAUUUGCAGUAACUGCCUGACAUCUUGUGGGUCACAUAAACCUUUUUGUUUGGGCAUCUGAUUUGGUACUCCAAAGAUUUGCAUACAAACAUAUCUUAGACCGUAACGUCGGGAGUCAAACUACCUUGACUUUCAAAUAUUGGCCCUGCACUUGAGGAAACUGUGGACAGUGAAAUCUCUCUUUAAUGUCACAGUUUCCUUUUAUGUAAAAUGAGACCAAUAAUGGAAGAUUGAAUGAAGUGCAUGUGUAUAUAAAACCUUCAGGCUAGUGCAUGACACUUAGAAAGCAUUCAACAGACAUCCAUGUUGUACCACAUCUUUUUUUUUUUAAUGUUUAUUUAUUUUUGACAGACAGAGCAUGAGCGGGGGAGGGGCAGACAGAGAGGGAGACACAGAAUCCAAAGCAGGCUCCAGGCUCCGAGCUGUCAGCACAGAGCCCGACGCGGGGCUUGAACUCACAGAGCGCGAGAUCAUGACCUGAGCCGAAGCCGGACGCUCAACCGACUGAGCCACCUGGGCGUCCCAUACCACAUCUUCUUUAUCAAUUCAUCCAUUGAUGGACAUUUGGGCUCUUUCAAUACUUUGGCUAUUGUCGAUAGUGCUGCUAUAAACAUGGGUGUGCAUGUGCCCCUUCGAAACAGCACACCUGUCUCCCUUGGAUAAAUGCCUAGUAGUGCAAUUGCCGGGUCGUAGGGUCGUUCCAUUUUUAGUUUUUUGAGGAACCUCCACCCUGUUUUCCAGAGUGGCUGCACCAGCUUGCAUUCCCACCAACAAUGCCAAAGAGAUCCUCUUUCUCCACAUCCUCGCCAGCAUCUGUUGUUGCCUGAGUUGUUAAUGUGAGCCAUUCUGACAGGUGUACAGCCCUACUUUCUAAUAAAAUGCUUCCAUUGGCUUGA